AGUGAUGGCUGCCAGUCCUCUCACAAAGUCAGGGUUAACCAUUUAAACUCUCAAGAAGUGCUUGUGCUGAUGACUUCAGGAAGGCAUCAAAGCCUUCCCACCUUGAGAAAGAAAAUCUUUCAUUGCCAAAGGCUUUUUGCUUUAGUUUAGGUAGGGACACCUUGAGAACUGCUACUGAUGAAGCGCAUGAUGUAAGCUGCAGCCAACUAACAUAGCUAUGCUGGGAUUUGCUCUGAGGACAAGGACGGCUUUGAUCACAACAUAACAUGGAUCUGGUCUCAGCAGUGUACUGUGACGAUCAGCUGGCAUGAGUGAAACCUCACUAUGGAGGAGAAUUAAACAGAAACCAGCUCAGCCUGGUGGGAAUAUCCUCCUAUCAAUGGAACCACAUCCUGUACAAACAGGCAGUGCUCUAGCUUGCUCCAAAAAUAAACCCUGAUGCUGUAGUACAUUUUGUUGUCUGAUUUUUGAGGACGAUGCUAACACACUGGUACCAGGGGUAAGGUAAGCAAAUAAAGUUUUCAAG
rnacentral:lncRNA from 1 species